rnacentral:lncRNA from 1 species
AAAAAGAAAAUUUACAUCGUGAUUAAAACUAGAAAAACAUUAAAUGGAACUAGACAAUCAUAGGACGACAGGCUAAUAGCUAAGGAUAGGACAAUUAAAAAAAACAAUGGCCUGUAUAUCUAGGUACUUUCAUACGGAAAACAAUCACGCCAGACGACAAUAGUACAUUUACUAUGAUUGAUUUAUUGAUGUCUCUGCUCUACGCCAAUCAGCGUAACACGGCUAGUAUAUCUGACAGGAGUCAGGAACAUCUUGUUCAGUGGUUGUCGUUUGUUGAUGUGGUUCAUACGUGUUUCUCGUGAAUCUUUUUGUAUAUGGAUUACACAGUUGGGUUACCAGUGUAAAUGGUUUUGGGGGUUUAUAGCUUGUUGCUCAAUGUGAUCCAAAGCUCCGUGUUGAAGGCCGUAAUUUGGCCUAUAAUGGUUCAUUUUUUACAAAUUGUGACUUGGAUGGAGAGAUCAUUACUACUCAUACCACAUCUUCUUAUAUCUAUAUAUACUAUUAAAAUAUUGUAAAACAUAUGACAAGUUGACAGGCAAUUGUAACCAAUGACAACCACUCGAUAAAAUGCCCUAUAUGUAGCUGAUAAAUUCAUUUGAAAAUACAUAGGUCUUUCAAACCCAUCCACGAAGGUCCAUGAGAUAUGUUGCGCAAUCAUUAAUUUUUAUUUGUUUUGAUAUUUUCAGUGUUCUUCAACUUCGUAAUUGAUUUGGUAUUUUACUGUUUAGCUUUAAAUAAUGUGUUUAAAGUUGACGAAACGCAGGUGGGUUUGACACAUUAAAACACAAGAAUGUUAUCUUGGGCACGGUUUAGUUUACAAGCACUGUGUCGUUUCAAAUGCUGGUUAUCAUUUUUGUCUCUAAAUGUAUCAUGCACUAGCCCAGUAAUGAAACGAUGAGAUCUAUCUUGUGUUGACAUGGAAUAUUAUAGGUUCUACCAUGUCCUUUAAUUUUCUUAAUUGACGCUUUAAGAUUGUUGUUAUGGACAGAUCAUUUAGAAAUGUUGCGGGAUUUGUAAACUUUACCUGGAAAAGUGAUGUAACAUUAGAACAUAUCCGUAAAAAUCAGUUAAAAAGGAUUUGACCGAGAAGAUAGGAACUAACAACGUCGUGCUUACUAUUUGGUCCAUAACUGUUACAUGUCCUUCAAAUCAAUAGAACUUUAUGGUUUCCAUAUACGGACUGUGUAAAUAGAAACUAUAAAUACUGUGGAUUCAUUAUUAUUCACUUGAUACCAAUUUUCAUGGUUUUCGUG